rnacentral:lncRNA from 1 species
UCUUCUAUUGUUUUAAACAAAUUUAGAACAUAAAAUAUAUACAUAACAAUUGACCAAAAAAAUUAUAUAUAUACAUAACAGUAUAUAUAAACUGGAAAAGAACAAAAAGAAAGAGAACAUAGCAGGGAGGGAAAGGAAGUAGGAGACCUGACAGCUAAUGACCACUUCCAUUUGUUUUCUUCAACUUAUAUUUUUAAAUAUGGGAAAACAUGUUACAUAUUAAAAAGUUGGACCCGGAGAAAUGUGUGCAUUCUAUACAUACUGUGUAGAAACAAUUGAAUAUAUUUUCAUGUAUAGUAAAAAGUAUUAGAAUUUCUCAAUCUUUUUUCUAAACGAUUAAAAACAGGAAUAUGGAGUUACGUUAUACAUAUACCGAACACCAUACCUAGUGGAUAUCUCGAAAGAAAAGGUAGGACGUGUGCUUAACCUUGGAACCAUCGAAAGGGGUGCUGAAGUUUGGAAAGACGUGGACAUUCUUGUGUUCAAUUCUUGGCACUGGUGGGUUCACAAAGGAGUAGAAUCUCAAGGGUUCGUACCAUAUAUCCUCCUACACUCAUGUAUAAUAUAUGGUCUAAUUUGAGAUUGUCUUAAGACGUGGUCCAACCAAAUCAUCUUCUCUUCUUCUAUUGUUGUUUUUGUUGUUGUUAUAUCAGGUGGGAUUUUAUAAGAAAUGGGUCUUCACUGAUAAGAGACAUGAACCGUCUUGAUGCUUUCAACUUAGGACUCACCACUUGGGCGCAAUGGGUUGAUCAAAACGUUAAUAAUUCGCAAACCCGAGUUUUCUUCCAAGGCAUUUCUCCUACUCACUACGUGUAAGUUCAUUAUACAUACAUUUGGUAUGAAAAUUUCUGUUCUAGGUGAAAUCUAUUGACUUGUUUAUUUGGAAUAUUUAAUAGAGGAAAGGAAUGGAAUGAGCCGAAGAAGACUUGCAACGGGCAGAUGCAACCGUUGACCGGGUCAACAUACCCGGGUGGUCCACUUCCUGCAUCAAGCAUUGUGUCACGAGUGUUGCGCUCCAUGAAGACACCCGUCUACCUACUCGACAUCACAACUCUGUCUCAGCUAAGAAAAGAUGCGCAUCCAUCUACUUAUGGAGAAAAUGGAAGAACCGAUUGCAGCCACUGGUGCCUUCCUGGCUUGCCGGAUACUUGGAACCAGCUUCUCUAUGCAGCUCUUUCGAUGUGAAGAACUUGACUCAACAUGGUAUAUAACAUUCUUGGAGUCCAAAGGAAAUAAAGGGAACGACUUACAUUUACUUGGAAGGUUUACAAACAGGAUGUCGAUAAAUUAAAGUUGCAAAGCGUUUUUUAUUAUUUUCAUUUGGCGGGGGUGAAACUAUAAUCUACUAAUCUUGUGAUUGUUUCAAGAAAUAAAAUUAUCUAAAGUAGCACAUUAUAUCAUUGCUGGAUUAUUAUGUAUAUCACAGUAAACAUAUACGGUUUGUUGUUUCCUGUUAAAUUAGAUUGGAUUACUAAAGGGAUAACUACGAAGAAGUUUCCUAUUCCUAUUAUAACUUAGAUUCAUCCUUAUCAGGAUCUUGUACUAGUUAACUUAGGAUAUUGUACUUUGUAUAUAUACUCAUCAUAUGGAAUGAAUAAACUCAAGCUUUCACAUAAUAUUUCAUGGUAUCAGAGCUAUAAGAUUCUUUGACCUAAAUUUCUCAAACACAUAUACGUUCUACUUCUACAAUGGCUGAUGAUAAUUCAUCUUCAUCGAUCAAUACUGAUACAACUUCGGUGACUCCACAAGCUAUCAAUGCUUCGUCACCUUACUAUCUUCACCCCUCGGAUAAUCCAGGGGCUCUUAUUACUUCUGUUACGCUUAAUAGCGAGAAUUAUUCGGAGUGGUCAACAGAACUUCGUAACUCGCUUCAAGCCAAACGAAAAACUGGUUUCAUUGACGGAACUAUACCAAAACCCGACUCUGAACCAGAUCUCUCUCGCUGGCUGACUACUAAUGCUAUGAUUGUUGGAUGGAUUCGAACGUCAAUUGAUGCGAAAGUUCGUUCAACUGUUACCUUUGUCCCGGAUGCUCACAAGCUUUGGGAAACACUGUGUUUACGUUUUUCAGUCAAGAACAGAACCCGGGUUCAUCAACUUCAAGAUGCAAUCACAAACUGCAAGCAAGAUGGACAACCUGUUCUUGAGUACUAUGGUCGACUAACGAAGCUAUGGGAGGAGUUACAAAAUCUUAAAACAACUCGCCCGUGUACCUGCGAUGCAGCAUCUGAGAUAGAAAAGGAACGAGAAGAUUCACGUGUCCAUAAAUUUCUCUUUGGCUUGGAUGAUGCACGUUUUGCUUCAAUUCGUUCUCGCAUUACUGAUGAAGAACCUUUGCCAGAUAUCAACACUGUCUAUUCUCGUGUGAUACGAGAAGAACAGAAUAUGAUCUCCACCAAAGCAAAGGAACAACGAUCUGAUGUUCUAGGAUUUUCUGCAAAAACAGAACCAACAAAAGAUUCUUCUUCUUCUACUACUGAUACUUCAUCUUAUCGUUCUCGUGAUCCUAACCGCUCGUGCACUCAUUGUGGACGUACAGGACACGAAAAAUCAGAGUGUUUUCUACUACACGGCUUUCCGGAUUGGUAUCAAGAACAAUAUCACCGCUCAAACAGCAACUUGUCUGGUCAAUCUUCGCAAAACUCCCGCGGAGGAAGAGGAGGUCGUUCUGGUGGGAACAGGGGACGUGGUCGUGGUCGAGCUUCACAUGCCACGACUUCCAUCAACAAUGAACAGAUCGCCUCAUUAAUCACACUUCUUCAGAACCAGCAAUCCAAUCUUUCUUCGGAACGUCUGUCGGGUAAAACAUAUAUUACUGAUGCUAUUAUUGAUACAGGAGCGUCUCACCAUAUGACGGGAGACAUAUCACUUCUUCAUGACGUAUCUGAUAUACACCCCUCAUCAGUAACAUUCCCGAACGGAAAAGCUUCGCAAGCAACAAAACAGGGUACCUUGCGGUUAAGCAAGGACUACUCUUUACACAACGUUCUAUACGUGCCAGAAUUCUACUGCACUUUGAUAUCAGUUUCUAAAUUAUUAAAGCAAACUGGAUGCAUAGCAAUCUUUACUGAUACAUUGUGUGUUUUACAGGACCGUUUUUCGAGGACUCUGAUUGGAGCAGGUGAAGAACGUGAGGAGGUUUACUACUUUACGGGGGUCAAAGUCGCACGGGUUCAAGCAGCAUCAACGUCGAAAUCAUCUUCAACGGUUCUGUGGCAUCGUCGUCUUGGACACCCUUCCUACAAAGUUCUAUCUACUCUACCGGUUUUUGAUAGUUUUAAAAUAGAUCCUAGUGAUUUUAGUCAGUGUGACAUUUGUUUUCGUGCUAAACAAACACGAAAGGUUUUUCCUGAUAGUUCUAAUAAAGCAGAGGCACCGUUUUCUCUUAUACAUUGUGAUGUCUGGGGUCCCUAUCGAACACCCUCUUCUUCUGGUGCAAAUUAUUUUCUAACCAUUGUCGAUGAUCACUCGAGAGCAGUUUGGACUUAUUUAAUGUUGGAAAAGUCGGAGGUUUCUAAUCUACUUCAGAACUUCUGUGCUAUGGCCGCAAAACAAUAUGGUCAUGAUGUCAAGAUAGUACGCACGGACAACGGUUCUGAGUUUAUGGUUCUUAAGUCAUUCUUCCAGAAGAAUGGGAUUCAGCAUCAGACGUCUUGCGUUGAUACGCCACAGCAGAAUGGCCGUGUUGAACGUAAGCAUCGACAUAUUCUUAAUAUUGCACGUGCUUGUCUCUUUCAAGGUCGUCUUCCAGUUGAGUUUUGGGGUGAAAGUAUUAUGACUGCGGCUCACAUUAUUAAUCGAACACCAUCACCUCUCUUGGAUGGCAAGACACCGUAUGAAGUACUCCAUGGCAAGCCGCCGGCGUAUGAUCUACUACGAGUCUUUGGAUGUCUUUGUUUUGCUCACCGUCGCGGUCGAGAUAAAGAUAAGUUUGGUGAUCGCAGUCGCAAGUGUCUCUUUGUGGGCUACCCUUUUGGCACUAAGGGAUGGAGACUGUUUGAUAUAGAUCGGAAUGAAUUCUUUGUUAGCAGAGAUGUGAUCUUCUUUGAAGAUAAAUUCCCUGGUAUUGACGAUACACCUCAUGUUUCUCCACCAGUUUUGCAAGUGAAUGAACCUGGGGAUGAGUGGCUCGACCCGAUUCUUGACUCCAGGGGGAGUACUCAGUCUCCACCUUCGGAUCCUGUCCCACAUACCGAUUCUGUUCCGCCUACUGCAAAUACUGAAACUUCUACAAAUCCACUGCCACCUCCAGAUAUGGUUUCUCCGGCUGAAACAUCACUACCGUCGGUAUCUCUGCCUCCGAUUCCAAUAAAUGUUUCACCAGUGGCCCCUACUUCUUCAGAUACUGAACAACAAGAUGUUCCUUCUCCAGGGUUACUGGAAGUUCUUGGUCGAGGACAGAGAACUAAGAAGCCUUCUAUUCUACUCAAGAAUUAUAUUACCCAUGCAGCUACGACUACGACCCCCCCUCACGAUCUCUCACUCUCUGAUUCUAGUUCUCCGAUAGCGGUUCCAGGUAAGACACUGUAUCCUAUUGCUAACUACUUAUCUGUCUCUGCAUUUACUAAACAGCACCAGGCUUUUCUGGUUACUAUCACAACCGAGGCUGUUCCUCGUAAUUACUCUGAGGCAGUAAGAGACCCACGGUUUAAUGGAGCGAUGAAGUCUGAGAUUGCGGCUUUGGAAUCACAACAUACGUGGGAUGUCACUACACUUCCGCCAGGCAAGAAAACAAUCGGGUGUCAAUGGAUAUACUCCAACAAAUACAACUCUGAUGGCACAGUCGAACGUCCUAAGGCACGUCUUGUGGCCCGAGGAAAUCGACAAAAGGCUGGUAUUGAUUACAAAGAUACAUUCGCACCGGUUGCAAAGAUGAAUACAGUUCGUUUUCUACUUGCUGUCUCGGCAGCUCAACGCUGGGAAAUCCAUCAGAUGGAUGUUCACAACGCUUUCUUACAUGGAGACCUUGAAGAGGAAAUAUAUAUGCAGCUACCUCAAGGUUUUAAAACCGACAAGCCUAAUCAGGUGUGCCGCCUCAGGAAAUCUCUCUAUGGUUUAAAACAAGCUCCUCGGUGUUGGUUUGCAAAAUUGAGUAAAUCUCUACUUCACUUUGGAUUCACACAAAGUCGUGAAGACUACUCUCUGUUCUCCUAUGUCAAUCACGACAGGAAUGUGUGUCUCCAUAUCUUGGUGUAUGUUGACGACUUUAUUAUAGCUGGGAAUGAUAUCUCCGUCAUACAGAGGUUUAAGAAUUAUCUACAUAAGUGCUUCAAGAUGAAGGACUUAGGAAAACUUAAAUACUUUAUUGGCUUGGAAGUUGCACGAGGGCCAGAGGGGAUCUUUGUUUCUCAACGGAAGUACACACUGGAUAUAGUCACAGAAUGUGGUCUUCUUGGCGCCAAGCCUUCUCCUACACCUACAGAACUUAAUACUAAACUGGUCCCGGCCGAUAAAACCAACUCACACACGCUUCUGACGGACCCAAAGCCCUAUCGUCGCUUGGUUGGACGUCUCAUAUAUCUUACUUUUACUCGCCCAGAUUUGAGCUACAUUAUACAUAUCUUAUCUCAGUUUAUGCAGAAGCCCUUAGAGGCACAUUGGUCUGCAGCACUUCGGGUAGUACGCUAUCUUAAAGGAACUCCAGAUCAAGGGAUUAUGCUCAAAGCUACGUGCAAUAUGCAUAUCUCAGCCUACUGUGAUGCGGACUGGUCUUCUUGUCCAACUACUCGCCGCUCCUUGAGCGCUUACGUCGUUUUUCUCGGUGAUUCACUUAUCUCGUGGCGUACUAAGAAGCAGCCCACAGUCUCGCGUUCCUCGGCGGAGUCAGAAUACAGAGCUAUGGCAGAUACUACUUGUGAGUUAAAAUGGUUGAAGAAACUAACUCUUAUGCUCGGCUUCACUCAUGAUCAACCGAUUACUCUUCACUGUGACAGUAAAUCCGCUAUACAUAUUGCUACUAAUCCAGUGUUUCAUGAGCGCACCAAGCAUGUAGAAAAUGAUUGUCACACAACCCGGGAUGCCGUCAAAGCCAAGUUUCUGCGUCUUGAGCAUAUUUCUACUAAAGAACAGCCAGCUGAUCUUCUCACUAAAGCUCUCCCUACACCUACAUUUCAAUAUCUGUUGUUCAAGUUAGGCAUUCGUGAUACCUCAUUGCCAACUUGAGGGGGAGUAAAGGGAUAACUACGAAGAAGUUUCCUAUUCCUAUUAUAACUUAGAUUCAUCCUUAUCAGGAUCUUGUACUAGUUAACUUAGGAUAUUGUACUUUGUAUAUAUACUCAUCAUAUGGAAUGAAUAAACUCAAGCUUUCACAUAAUAUUUCAAUUACCUCGGUAACAACAAUUAACAGAUUUAAAACUCGAAUCACCGCUUAUAUAGUGGUUCAACACAAAUCUUGACUUUUGGGAUCUUGUGACUUGGGUAUGGUUCGACCCAGUAUUGGCAGGUUUGGUCCUAUUAUAUACAAGGGAUCAGGCUAUUUUAAGUGUGUGAACUUCGCAUAUAAAACAUUUCUGAAAUUGUAAUAUCACCAACAUGAAUUAUCUAAAUCACUUUGAGAUGGUUAGUGAUAUUAGCAUUGGUUGACAUGGUUUUAGUAAAAUAAAUGCAAACGAAGUGACGAGUUAUUUCCAGAUAGUUGACUUUCUCAUAGAUCUUCUAGCAGACAAGGUGUUCGACGAAUUCCUAUGAGAGCUCCUUAGAACUUGCUGAUAAUCUCUACCAUGAAACUGAGGCAAAUCCUCGGUUCUGUUUCUAGACUCGCUACAGAAAAGCUCUCUUCCUCUUCUCGUUGCCCGUCUAGACAGAUUUUCACCGCUUCGCAACGAAAUGCCGGAGGCAACCACUCAGAAGCUUUACCUGGGAAGCACAUCGAAUGGGCUUCGCUUGGUUCAGUCAGAAACUCGAGAUUCGCAUCUGGGUUCUCACCGUUGGAUUCGAUCAUGGAUUUGGAUAGAGCCAAGACAAUUUUCACUAUAUAUAUAUAUAUAUAUAUCAAAAUUUAAUUAUAUUUUGGUCAUUUUUGUUUUCUUGCUUUUAGUCGUCUUGGUUCACGCUCGAAUCAUCUAUACUGUGUCUAAUGUCAAGAUUAAAAGAAACGUGACAUAAUUUUCUUCCCUUGCAUGUAUGUGAGUACUCUUGUGAAAAUCACUCACUAUUUUAAAAACACGAAUCAAUAAAACUGAAUCAACUAGCCAAGGCUUAUCUAUAUAUAGUGCUGUCCAUGUCUUAUGCGAAAUGUUUUUUUCAUCAAAGUAAUACAACCUUUUUUUUUGUUAAAGGGUUUCGAAAUGAUACAACUUUGCGAUAGGAAUAAUGAACAGAUGGCGUAGAAGCAUCUAAGAAUUGAUGGAAAAAGAUUUAAGAUUCCCCCUGUGACAAGCUAAGCAAUAGAAUGUCCCACUAUCUUUGAUUCAUUCACAGGAGCCCCACGAAAAACACCAAAAAUGAUAAUGUGGAUUGUGGAUGGCUUCAACAAAACUCUUUUGCUUUUGAUGGUUUUUACUUACCAGAAUUAAUGUGAAUUGAACGGUGUGGCAAUGAUCGCUGGUAGUCGACCUGAUGCAUAGCAUAACAACUUUAGACGUUACAGGUCACAUAAGCUGCAUAUUCCCAAGAAGGUAAUAUAACUUUUUGCAUCGUUUACUUUAACUCUUGUGAAGUGUAUCAGAAGCUUCUGAUACACUUUGAUAUCUUUUGCAUCGUUUACUUACUUUAAAUUCCAUUUUGAGUCAAGAAUUGAUGGUGAGAUAUCAAUAUCGUCAACAGAAUGAAUAUUUUGGAGACAUUUUAUGAACUUUAUAGGUAUUUCUAGAUUUUGGAGAUACAUAUAGUGACAUAAAAUUAUCCGCACAGCUAACUUGUGGAAUGAGAUAUUCUGUCACUGAAUUACGUAUUUUUGUACCGUUCCGACCAAAGUAUACUAGUGAAAACAUUCUGAACUUUUGUCAAAAUUUUAAACUUAGGCACACUCUAGUGAAAAAAAAAUCAAUGUCGACAAAAUGCCUUUUCGUCAAAUAGUAAACAAAUUGAAAUCAUAAAACUUAAUCUCUUUUCAUCAUUUUACAAUUAAUAAUGCGUACCUGAUUUUUGUAAAAAAAUAAUUAUUAUAUUAAUUCUUUGGUUUCCUCAUAAAAAAUUUCUUUAUACUAUACAAAUUCUUUUGACUAAUAUAUCAAAUCAUCAUAAGAAAAAUAUCCUCCUUACAAACAAACAUAUCUUACUAUUUUAGACAAUUUUGGAAAUUUUUUUUGGAGAAUCGUAAAUAUAUAUUAUUAUCAUUUAACAAAAAUAAAUAAAAGAAAGUAAGUAAGUCAAUACAAAUCAGUCACAGUCAAUAAUAAUCCAUUAAAACAUUAGAUAAAAAUAUAUCCCAUAUUUGUUAAGUUCGGUAUACUUUACACAAAUUCCUCUACCAACAACCCGUUAAUGAUCAUUUGUAAAUGAAUUGACAGCCUAACAAUGUGUGGCUUUCCUAAAGAAUUGAUAUAUUUUUUAUUUUAUUUAAAAAAAAAAUUGAACCCAUAUAAUGCCAACAGUAUCUCCACCCAAGAAUCUGUUCACACUCCUCACUACUGUACUUACGUAUAAGUAUAUAAACAUGUAUAUACAAACUCAAUUCCAUCACAAAGCCUCUUCAAAAAUAACCCACAUCUUUUGUUUCAAAGAUGGGUUGCAAACGCAUCUCUCUUUUCCUUCUUCCACUUCUCACACUCACAAUCUUGUCCGGGGCCGACAAGGCCUUGGCUUCCGACAAGAAACCGCAAGUGAGCCACCGCAACAUAACGGGGUUGGCUGCCGCCGGAGGAGGAAAAGCGACGUUGAAAGGAAGGAAGCAAAAGUCUGGUUGUAACUUGUUUCAAGGGAAAUGGGUUUUCGAUGCUUCGUCUUACCCAUUGUACGAUUCGUCCACGUGUCCUUUCAUCGACGGCCAGUUUGACUGUCUCAAGUUCGGCCGGCCAGACAAAAAGUUCCUCAACUACUCUUGGCAACCUGAUUCAUGCACCAUCCCAAGGUAUGUAACAUCAACAUACAUACAAUUAGCAUAAUAAUAUUGAUAAUGAUAUGUUACGUAUAUAUGUGAUUGUAAAUUAAGGUUUGAUGGAGCAGCGUUUCUGAAUCAAUGGAGAGGGAAACGAGUGAUGUUCGUGGGAGACUCACUGAGUGUAAACAUGUGGGAAUCGUUGGGAUGUAUGAUCCAUGCGUCAGUACCAGGCAUCACGACCAAAUUUCUCAGACGUACCCCACUCUCCUUUCUCACUUUCCAGGUCUCUCUCUACUCUUCUUUUUUCAGUAUUAUAAUUUUUAAAUGUGUAUUUGGAUACAAACAAAACCUAAUAAUUCAUCAUCACGAGGAGGACUUGUCAAUUUCAUUUGAAUCGUGUUGAUCACGGGCUAAUAUAUUAUACUAUAUUUCUAUUUUUAUAAGAAUUGUGAAAAUGUUCUUUUUUGGUUUAAUUUUUUUUUGUGCAAACGCUUGACAUCCAAGGUAUUAUGAUUUUAUCAGCCUUACUGCCUAGUUGAUCAUACACAUACCUAAUUUAAAACUAUGAAUCAAUGAAAAAGGAGGUAAAAGAAAACGUAUAGAUUUUACUAACAAACAAUUGAUUUUCUUUUCUGCAAAGAGAUUUUUCUUUAAGAAGUUGUGCAUUUUGAUGUAGACGCAUGCGUCCACUAUAUAUUUUUGGUCUAUAUGGUUUAUGCUUCAAUAUACUAUUACUUAUCUCAGUGAAAACAAAUAUACACUACAAAAUAUUAAUAUGUGUGGGCUUAUCUAAAAUUAUAACUUAUCUUCUUCUUGUACAAAAUUACAGCUAAUUCUAUCUUAAAAUGAUAUUUUAUAUUCACAAUUUUAAAAAAAAAUUCAAUUCUGAUACAGUUGCGACUUCUUUAAUUAGUUUGACUAUUCAACAUGAACAUUGAAAACUAAGUAUAUUAACCACAAACCUAUGUAAGGUUAAAUCCUUAAUUUUUUUUUGUCUGGUUAAAUCCUUAAUUUAUUAGAAACAUUUAAAGCCUUUCUUUAAAAGAAAACAAUAACAUCCGAUACGGAAAAAUACGUAAUCCAAAUAUUUUUUCCACCGUAUUCUGUUUGCCUUUGUUUCUAGUGUUGACUUAGGGUUUUGGGAAUUUCUCUCUUCUAGUUGUUUUAAACAAAUUUAGAACAUAACAAUGUAUAUUAACUGGAAAAGACAAAAAGAAGAGAACAUUGCAGGAAGGGAAAGGAAGUAGGAGACCUGACACUCUGACAGCUAAUGACAACUAAUAAACCACUUCAAUUUGUUUUCUUCAAGUUAUAUUUUUAAACAUGGGAAAACAUGUUACAUAUUAAAAAGUUGGACCCGGAAAAAUGUGUGCAUUUUAGUCUAAUUGAUUAUCGUCUAUAUAUUGUGUACAAAAAAUUGAAUAUAUUUUCAUGUAUAGUAAAAAUUAUUAGAAUUUCUCAAACCUUUUUUUAAACGAUUAAAAACAGGAAUAUGGAGUUACUUUAUACCUAUACCGAACGCCAUACCUAGUGGAUAUCUCCAAAGAAAAGGUAGGGCGUGUGCUUAACCUUGGAACCAUCGAAAAUGGUGCUGAUGUUUGGAAAGACGUGGACAUUCUUGUGUUCAAUUCUUGG